UAUGAUGGGGUUCAGGACAUGCUACCACAUAAUAUUUGAAUCUGAAGGAAUCGAGAAAACCACAGAAGCAGGAAGGUCCCUCUGCCUUCCCUUGCCCUUCCUCCCUGACACAGUUCAUAGAAUCCAGAGGGAGUUUCAGACUUUUCUCUGAAGCAGGUCAUAAGACUUUCAUGUGACAGACACCCUCCCUAUUCCCAGAAGAAGGGAACAUCCUCAUCUCCAAAGAAAGAACACAGAGGACUCUGAAUGGGCCUUGCUGAUUAACUUCUCAUUGCCCUUUCAACCACUGAGGUCUCUCUGCAUCCAACAGGCCUCCACCAGUGGGGUCAGAGCCUGUCAGUUCCGUGAGAACAGGGACCAUGUGUUUUCCAUCCUGCUAUUCUCGGGCUCUCACAAAGUUCCUGGCAACUGAAAUGGCUUAGCGUUUCCCUAGUGGAUUUUCCUGGGAUUUUUAGCCAAAACUAUAUCAUCUACACAUUAUAAAAUAAUGUUUACCUCCUCUUUUCCAAUUUCUAUAUAUUUAAAUUAUUCUGUCUAAUUGCAUUGGCCAGUACCACCAAUAGAAUGCUAAAUAAUUAUAGUGAACAUAGGCAUCCUUUUUUGUUUCUAACUUUAGUGGGUCUUGUAUUUCCAAAUUAAGCAUGAUAAUGAUUUGGGGGUGAGAUAGGUAUAUUUUAUCAUGUGGAGAAAAAUCUCCAUCUAUUCUUUAAUUGAAUAUCUUUAUCAAAAAUUGAGUACAUUUGUCAACAUUUCAGCAUCUAUGAAAAAAAUCACAAGUUUUUUUUUCUUAGAUUCAUUAAUAGGAUGAAUUUAUAUUAAUAGAUUUACUGA